rnacentral:rRNA from 1 species
UUAAGCCAUGCGAGUCGAACGAGUUUAGGCUCGUGGCGUACGGCCCAGUAACACGUGGAUAACCUACCCUUAGGACCGGGAUAACCUUGGGAAACUGAGGAUAAUACUGGAUAGGCAAUUAUUUCUGCAAUGGUUUUUUGUUUAAAUGUUUUUUCGCCUAAGGAUGGGUCUGCGGCCGAUUAGGUAGUUGGUUAGGUAAAGGCUUACCAAGCCGUUGAUCGGUACGGGUUGUGAGAGCAAGAGCCCGGGGAUGGAACCUGAGACAAGGUUCCAGGCCCUACGGGGUGCAGCAGGCGCGAAACCUCCGCAAUGUGAGAAAUCGCGACGGGGGGAUCCCAAGUGCCAUUCUUAACGGGAUGGCUUUUCAUUAGUGUAAAGAGCUUUUGGAAUAAGGGCUGGGCAAGACCGGUGCCAGCCGCCGCGGUAA